rfam:Streptococcus pneumoniae 2070335 gspj15.contig.4, whole genome shotgun sequence.
AACAACCACUAGGGGUGCGUAAAGCUGAGAUUAACGACUGUUAGAUCCCUCUGACUCAAUCUAGGUAAUGCUAGCUGAUGGAAGUGGAAAUGAUAAUGG